AAACUUUGCAAAGCUGCCUAAGCUAAAAGAUCAUGGGAACUGUUUCAAUAAUGUCUCUUGAUUUUUAGUCUGUGUUUUUUGUAUUUCUUACAAGACAAAUGUAUUAUUGUAGAUUAAAUCAUGGCUGUCGUAAAUUAAGUCAUGAGUAGACUCAACUGAUGGUUAUUGUGAAAUAAUAUCAUGGUUAAUGUGGAUUCUAUUAUUGUUGUGUCAUAAACGGAUUACUGGAUAGCUACAUCAUGGUUUUUGGGGAUUACAUUGAAUGCUUGUUAUGAGUGGAUAAAUGUUGGUUGUUGUGGAACAUUGAGGAUUAAGUUAAUCAACGAAUGAAGACGACGUUUCAGAGUGAUAUAUUUCUUUCGUUGGUUGUAUAGUUGUAGGUUAUCGAACUGUAAAGCUUUGUGAGGCAAUUUUAUCAAUCUUGUAAACAUAGCAGUAAUCCAUCCCAGUUUGUAAAUAUCGAUAAGUAAGGUUAUUUAUGAAUACUAAAAGUCAGUCCGUGUAAAGAUAUAAAUAUUGUAACAUUAUUCUACAGUAUAAA